rnacentral:tRNA from 1 species
CAAGGAAUAAUUUAAUAAAAUAAAAUAGUAAAUUUGGAGUUUAAAAAUGGUUAUAAAUUGAUUUUCCUUUCUUGA